CUUCGUACCUCGAUAUAUUUCUUUUUGAGGUAGUCACAUAUGAUAUGAUUUCAUUGCUCGAUGUACUUUGAUUUUUGAUGAGACCUCGACUCUUUAGCAAGUGCUAUGGCUCCAUUGUUGUCGUAGUAGAGCAGUAUAGCAUCCGAUGUCAUAACCUCAAGUUUCAUGAUAAACUUUUUGAAUCAGAAGCCAUCCUUUGC
rnacentral:lncRNA from 1 species